rnacentral:tRNA from 1 species
GGAGGUUUGGCUCAGUGGUAGAGCGCUUGCCUAGCAAGCACAAGGCCCUGGGUUCGGUCCCCAGCUCUG